AGAUUGAACGCUGGCGGCAUGCCUUACACAUGCAAGUCGAACGGCAGCGCGGGGCAACCUGGCGGCGAGUGGCGAACGGGUGAGUAAUAUAUCGGAACGUACCCUGGAGUGGGGGAUAACGUAGCGAAAGUUACGCUAAUACCGCAUACGAUCUAAGGAUGUAAGUGGGGGAUUCGCAAGAACCUCAUGCUCCUGGAGCGGCCGAUAUCUGAUUAGCUAGUUGGUGGGUAAAGGCCUACCAAGGCAUCGAUCAGUAGCUGGUCUGAGAGGACGACCAGCCACACUGGAACCUGAGACACGGUCCAGACUCCUACGGGAGGCAGCAGUGGGAAUUUGGACAUGGGCGAAAGCUGAUCAGCAAUGCCGCGUGAGUAGAAGAAGGCCGUUACGGUUGUAAGCUCUUUUGUCGAGGAAGAACGGUGAGAGACUAAUAU
rnacentral:rRNA from 1 species